rnacentral:lncRNA from 1 species
ACCGGGAGAGGGGCCGGGCCCCUCUGUUGGCCAGGUCUGGGAGUCCCUCAAGCCAGUUGCCCAGUGUGGAGGACCGAGUGCAGGCCUGGGACAGCCGACGGCCCCUCAUCCAGGACCUGGCCCGCCGGCUGCUGACUGAGGACGAGGUGCUGGCUGUCGCUCGCCACUGCUCCAGGUACGUGCAUGAGGGUGGUGUAGAGGACCUGGUGCGGCCCCUGCUGGCCAUCCUGGACAGGCCCGAGAAGCUGCUGCUGCUGAGGGACAUCAGGUGAGCGAGGAUGUGGGGUGGAGCGGAGAUGAGGUCCCAGAGGCAGAGCCCAUCCGCCCUGAGCCCUGGCCCCUCGCCUCUUUCCUGCCCUAGAAGUGUGGUGGCCCCCACAGACCUGGGCCGUUUCGACAGCAUGGUGAUGCCUGCAGAGCUGGAGGCCUUUGAGGCCCUGAAGAGCAGGGCAGUGCGGCUGCCUGCUUUGAGACCAGCCCGGCAGGACACCCCGCCCAGGCGCCAUCUCAUCACCCCUGUGCCUGACAGCCGAGGAGGCUUCUACUUGCUGCCCGCAAAUGGCUUCCCUGAGGAGGAGGAUGGAGAGCUGCAGGAACGCCUGGGGGGGCUCACUGUCUCUGCAAGUGCCUCUGCCUCCUCCUACCCUCAAAAAGGGGUCCCACCUCUCCAAGAUGUGCCAGUCGAUGUCUAUACCCCACACCAAGUCUUGGGAACAUCACCUGCCCUGCUGUCCCCAGUGGCACCUGGGCUACCUCAGCCCAACUGGCUGCUCGCUGCAGCCCUGAGUCCAGAGAAGGCUCAACAGAGCCUGAGCCAGGGCCCAGCCCGCAGCCCCAGCCGCAGCCAGGGUCGAAGCAAGUCCCCUGGGCGCAGGCGCUCCCCAUCCCCGGUGCUUCUCUCCACUGCUAGCGCAGCCAGUGGGCGCCACCACAAGCCUCGGAAGGCCAGACCUCUUCUGCCACCACCUCUGGGUGGGCAGGCGGCCAAGGCUGGGCCCCGGUCAGGGCCUUGGGAGAAUGGUGAUGGCAGGGCAGCUGAGGCGGCAGCCAUGCAAGCCCCUGGUGGGGAGCUGAGGACGGUUACACUCUCCAAGAUGAAGCCAUCCCUGGGUGAGUCUGGGUAG